rnacentral:tRNA from 1 species
GCUGCUGUAGCUCAGUUGGUAGAGCAACUGAUUCGUAAUCAGUAGGUCGGAGGUUCGACUCCUCUCAGCAGCA